rnacentral:rRNA from 1 species
GAUGAACGCUGGCGGCGUGCCUAAUACAUGCAAGUCGAGCGAACAGACGAGGAGCUUGCUCCUCUGACGUUAGCGGCGGACGGGUGAGUAACACGUGGAUAACCUACCUAUAAGACUGGGAUAACUUCGGGAAACCGGAGCUAAUACCGGAUAAUAUAUUGAACCGCAUGGUUCAAUAGUGAAAGACGGUUUUGCUGUCACUUAUAGAUGGAUCCGCGCCGCAUUAGCUAGUUGGUAAGGUAACGGCUUACCAAGGCAACGAUGCGUAGCCGACCUGAGAGGGUGGUCGGCCACACUGGAGCUGAGCCACGGUCCAGACUCCUACGGGAGGCAGCAGUAGGGAAUCUUCCGCAAUGGGCGAAAGCUUGACGGAGCAACGCCGCGUGAGUGAUGAAGGUCUUCGGAUCGUAAAACUCUGUUAUUAGGGAAGAACAAAUGUGUAAGUAACUAUGCACGUCUUGACGGUACCUAAUCAGAAAGCCACGGCUAACUACGUG